rnacentral:rRNA from 1 species
CAGCUAGCCAGUGAUGGCAUGCGAAUCUCGAAAGCCUAUCUCAGUUCGGAUUGGAGGCUGAAACCCGCCUCCAUGAAGUUGGAUUCGCUAGUAAUCGCGCAUCAGCCAUGGCGCGGUGAAUACGUUCCCGGGCCUUGUACACACCGCCCGUCAAGCCAUGGGAGCCGGGGGUGCCUGAAGUUCGUUACCGCAAGGAUCGACCUAGGGCAAAACUGGUGACUGGGGCUAAGUCGUAACAAGGUACC